AUUAGAAGGGUUUUGAUCAUGGCUCAGGACGAACGUUGGCGGUGCGCUUAAUGCAUGCAAGUCGAGGGAGAACCAUUCGUUCCGUAAGGUCCGGAUGGGGAAACCGGCGAACGGGUGCGUAACACGUGAGGAACCUGCCCCGAAGAUCGGGAUAGCCCGGGGAAACCCGGAUUAAUACCGAAUACCCUCUCCGGACCGCAUGGUCUGUUGAGGAAAUGGUCAGCCGCUUCGGGAUGGCCUCGCGGCCUAUCAGCUAGUUGGUGAGGUAACGGCUCACAAAGGCAAAGACGGGUAGCUGGUCUGAGAGGACGAUCAGCCACACUGGGACUGAGACACGGCCCAGACCCCUACGGGAGGCAGCAGCAGGGAAUAUUGCACAAUGGGCGAAAGCCUGAUGCAGCGACACCGCGUGUGGGAUGAAGGCCUUCGGGUUGUAAACCGCUUUCAGGAGGGACGAAAAUGACGGUACCUCCAGAAGAAGGCCCGGCCAACUACGUGCCAGCAGCCGCGGUAACACGUAGGGGCCAAACGUUGUCCGGAUUUAUUGGGCGUAAAGGGCUCGUAGGCGGUUCAACAAGUCGGUCGUGAAAUGCCGGGGCUCAACCCCGGAACGCCGGUCGAAACUGUUGUGACUAGGGUCCGGUAGAGGUGAGUGGAAUUCUCGGUGUAGCGGUGGAAUGCGCAGAUAUCGAGACGAACACCAGUUGCGAAGGCGGCUCACUGGGCCGGUACCGACGCUGAGGAGCGAAAGCAUGGGGAGCAAACAGGAUUAGAUACCCUGGUAGUCCAUGCCGUAAACUGUGGACACUAGAUUGAUGUCUGCCGUACCGUAGGUGUUCCU
rnacentral:rRNA from 1 species